rnacentral:rRNA from 1 species
CUAUGCAGGUAUGGCUUAGAGUUGCCGAGAAAAGCGAGCUAUGGCGACCGUACCGCAAACCGACACAGGUAGACGGGUUGAAUAUACUCAGGCGCGCGAGUGAGCCGUGGUUAAGGAACUCGGCAAAUUAACCCCGUAACUUCGGGAGAAGGGGUGCUGGAGCAAUCCAGCCGCAGAGAAAUGGCCCAAGCGACUGUUUAACAAAAACACAUCACUCUGCUAACACGUAAAGUGGAUGUAUAGGGUGUGACACCUGCCCGGUGCCGGAAGGUUAAGAGGAGAUGUCAGACGUAAGUCGAAGCAUUGAAUCGAAGCCCCGGUAAACGGCGGCCGUAACUAUAACGGUCCUAAGGUAGCGAAACUCCUUGUCGGGUAAGUUCCGACCUGCACGAAUGGUGUAACGAUUUGGGCACUGUCUCAACCACGGGCUCGGCGAAAUUGUGGUACCGGUGAAGACGCCGGUUACCCGCAUAUGGACGGAAAGACCCUAUGCACCUUUACUAUAACUUACUAUUGGCUCUGGUUGCAUCAUGCGUAGGAUAGGUGGGAGUCAGCGAAGCAGUGCUCUUGGGCAUUGUGGAGACAACGGUGAAAUACCACCCUUGAUGCAGUUGGAUUCUAACCCGGCGGCGUGUAGCCGCGGGGACAGUGGUAGGCGGGUAGUUUGACUGGGGCGGUCGCCUCCUAAAUUGUAACGGAGGCUUGCAAAGGUUCCCUCAGCACGGUUGGUAAUCGUGCCAAGAGCGCAAAAGCAGAAGGGAGCUUGACUGUGAGACCGACAGGUCGAGCAGGUACGAAAGUAGGUUUUAGUGAUCCGGCGGCACCGAGUGGAAGGGCCGCCGCUCAAAGGAUAAAAGGUACGCUAAGGAUAACAGGCUGAUCUUCCCCAAGAGUUCACAUCGACGGGAAGGUUUGGCACCUCGAUGUCGGCUCAUCGCAUCCUGGGGCUGGAGAAGGUCCCAAGGGUUUGGCUGUUCGCCAAUUAAAGCGGUACGUGAGCUGGGUUCAGAACAUCGUGAGACAGUUCGGUCCCUAUCCUAUGCGGGCGAAAGAUACUUGAGGGGACUCGUUCUUAGUACGAGAGGACCGGAAUGACUGGACCGACGGUGUGUCUGUUGUUUUGCCAAAGGCAUUGCAGAGUAGCCACGUCCAUAAAGGAUAAGUGCUGAACGCAUCUCAAGCACGAAACCUGCCCCAAGAUGAGGUAUCUCACAGCGUUAAGCUGGUAAGGACCCAGAGAGAUGAUCUGGUCGAUAGGCUCGACGUAGAAGCGUGGCGACACGUGGAGCGGAGGAGUACUAAUAGUCCGAGGGCUUAUCGGU